GCGGGGGUGGUGUAUGGUACACAGCUACUUGCAUUCACUGCGUUCGCUAAUCCAUCGUUCUUCAGUAGCAGAACCGGGUUCGACCCCCGGCCCCCGCA